AUUUAAUUUCUAAACAUUUAAUAUUAUAAAUUAUAACAAUUAUGUUCUACAGUCUAAAAUUAUUAUUUAUCUACUUGGCAUAAUCGAAAUACCAUUCUUAAUUUUACCGAAAUUUUGUUGCAAUUUAAAUUUUAUAUUUUCAACGAAAUUUUUCGAAAUGUUUAAAAUAAAUCUAGGAAAAAAAGGCAAUUAAAAAAGAAGUAACGGAAAAAAGCAAAUGAAAAAAAGGUAUACAAGAUGAGUAAAUCAAGUUUGGAAACUGCUGGUAUAGCAAAUAAAGAAAACUCAUUCUCCUACAAAUUCAGAUGCAUUUGAAUUGGUUUGAAAAUAAUAAAAGUAAUACAUUUUUUGUAUGAAUAGAGUCUGAGCAAAUACAAAAUUUCAUCCGAAUUGGGUCUGGGCAUGUAAAAUGAUGUGUUUGAAUUGGGUCCGUUUAUAAUUAUUUAUCGAAUCAUAGUGAUAAUAUAAUAAACGAAUAUAAUAUGGAUCACAUACUUUCCGUUGAAAAUUAAAAUACACUGAUCAGGCAUAACAAUAGUAAUAUUUUAUCGUAGUAAUAAAAUGCGUUGAAUUACACUGAUACAUGACACUAGUAUAUGUUCACAUUCCAUACAUAAUGGACACGUCUUGUAAUAUUAUGUUGAGUAUAAAAGACAAACAUAUUAAUGUUAUUGAUGGUUUUAAAUUUUCAUUUCAUAAAAGUCUAAAAAAUGAUAUUGAAUGAUGGAGAUGUGUAAAAAAAACAUGAAAAUCUUUUUAUAAACUCCAAAAUGAAAUAAUUAUUGAAAAAAAUAUCUCGCACAAUCAUAAACCUGAUUAAGCAAAUAUUUUAACCAGGCAAACAGUGAGUAACUCUUUAAAAAGAAAAUAUCAAGAAAACCAUUAUAAAAUUACAUCUAAGUUGUUAUAUAAUCAAUUUGAAAAUGAUAAAGAAACUCCAACAUAUAAGGAUUGUACUUUAAUCAAAAGAAAUAUGUGUAAUGCUAAAAAAAGUAUUCAACCGAGUAUUCCUAUAAGUUUAAGCGAUAUUGAUAAAACAUUAAACAAUUUUAAAAUAAAAAAUGUUUAUGUUUGAUAUUUAUGAAAGUAAAAAAAAAAUCUUAAUUUUUAGUUCAAUCUUUAAGUUAAAAUUUUUUUGUGUACUCAGUGAUAACCUGGGUAGGGAACCUCUGAUUUAAUAAGUAUUCAGCCAGAUGAUGAAUGAUUAAACAAAUUUAUGGAAUAUUUAUUAAAAAAUUAUAUUUGUCCCAAUGCAAAGUUCCCUCCAAAAUUAUGGUCUGAAUUUAAGCCUAAUAUAAUAAGAACUACAAACGCAUGUGAAUCCUUUCAUUCACACUUCAAAGUUCAAUUCUAUGUUUUAUUCUGCUCACCCAAAUAUAUUUCAAUUUAUACAAGUUUUAAAAAAUAUUCAAAGCGACAUUUACAUUAAAAUGAGAAGUUCGGAGGAAAAAAGAAGAAACUAUAUAAUAUCUAAGGAAGACUUUGAGAAGGAAAAAUUGACAGAAAAAUAUUGGGAAAAAUUAAUUGCUACGAAUUUGUUAAAUCUGUUUCUUAUAAAUUAUUUACUUAACUUAAAUUAAUAACUAUAUGUUAUUAGACAGUCCAAGUCCAAAUCUGUAAAAAUGGGAAGGGAAAUAUUUUUUUUCUGGAACCCAACUAUAAGUACUGCAGGCUUUUUUAUACGAGACCCAAUUGGUAAACAAUUGAAAUCUGGAACCCAACUGGUAUGCGCCAACAAAUUCAUGUACAUUCAAAUCUCAGUAACUCAAACACUUUUAUGUCUCAUUUUCUUUUGUCAUUUAAAGUUAUAUAACUCAAAAAAUAAACAAGUAAAAUGUAUUUUUA